rnacentral:tmRNA from 1 species
GGGGAUGUAUUGCAUCGACGUGGCGUGUUCGUUCACAUCUGCAGCUCGUCUUUGACCAGAGACGUUAACAAGGUCACAACAAAGCUGUCAAUAAAAUGAUUCGCACAGCGACUGCAUUCCGCGAUACCUUCGUAGAUGGCUUCACAGCUAUGCUCGGUGGUCAAUCACAGCGUGCUAUCGUUCCGAUCGCCUAAUUUAUUAGGUAGAAAAGCAUUCAUAUUCUCGGUCGCGCGUGUGCCGGAGUAUGGGUGGAAACCCAGCCGCGUGACUUCGCUCAGUUUCUCUGGUUCUGAGUGCCUAAGACUUCACAUCAGAAAGGGUUAGCGCACCGUUUGCAAAUUCACGACGCUAACCACACUUAAGAUUUGCUACAGCUGUAGACGAUGGAAUUGAAUACCUACGGACAGGGGGCCAUACCCCCUCAUCUCCACCA